GCGACUCCAGGCCCCGGGACCCAACGCCCCGGCCGCGGCCCCGCUCACCGAGGCUUCACAGAAGAACUGUGUUUUCAGCAGUGACUUCAAGAAGAUGAGGGUGGAAGUGUGACAAACAGGUUUUCCAAGCAUAACAGGCUGCUUGGAAGAAAGCAUGGACUUGCCUGUGAGAGAAGAAGAUGAAGAAUAUGGAGAUUGGUGUUGGCAGAGCAAAAGGGGAAGAAGGGAAAGGCAGAAGGAGACCAGCUCAGAGAUAUUUGCAGAGGCUGCAUAAGGUAGCCUCCAGCAGAACACCUAGAUCUGCAGGUCUUGAGGUCCAAUCUCAGUGGCUUGUUUUAGGGGCGAGGGACAAACUGCAGGAAGAAGCUAAGGCGUACAGUGACUAGAACUGUUAGUUCUUUUCCUGGAGGACAAGGGAGCUGCAGACUGAGACAUCUAUUUGCCACAUUCCUAGACAGGAACCAGGAGGCGAGCUCCCCAUGAUGGCUGUUCUAAACCCAUGUCUAUAGCCAGAAGAUAGCAAUAAUGAGCAUAGAAGGAAGAGCUCUUCUUGAUAUGUAUUCCAUCGUAGUGAUACCUAAAAAAAUACAAAAUGUGAUGGAUUGACAAGUAUACAGUUUGCAAGACCAAGUCAUCACUGAAUUCACAUCUGUAUUCUGCAAGCAGCUCGUAAUUCUUUUGAAAUAAGAAAACAAUAGGUGGAAACCUGUAUUUAUUUUUAAAAUUGUUUAAAUCUUAUUUUGUCUAAUAUUUGAUAAGCACAUAAUUUUGACAAACUUUUUUAAAUAUAAAUAACUUUACAAUCACUUUUUAAAACAACAUUGGUAAUUUAGUAAUAAAAUGUUGUUUUUUUUAAAAAACUAUCAGCCCUAGAGCAGUGUGAGGAGUGCAGUCAACCAAUGUAGCAGAAGCACAGAGUCUAGGGCAGGAUCCCCAUUGAAGUCAAAGAAGCUAUUUCAGUGGAGUUACACUAAUUUAUGUCAGCUGAGGAUCUGGCCUCCAUUCUCCAGCCAUGGCAGAUUAAAACCACUUCAAGUUAAAGAUACCACCUGUCCAGUUGCUGCCUGAGGAAUUCAAUCUCUUGUUUUUUGAAAUCCCCCACUGAGCACUGGCACCUCUUGUUGAUACUGGGGUGGUGUGGAACCACUGUUCACACUGCUGUCAUGCCACUGUACAGCUUCUGAAGUACCAUUUCCCCACUGGCUUUUUGCCUGAUACAUAUUGGACAGUAAACAAUACUUAGUGGGCCCAAUUCUGACCAUAAAAACAACGAGGAGUUGCUGGGUGGGUGUCAGUAGUUGCUGAUUAGUGUCAGUAUUAGUGUCAGUAUAAUAAUGCCUGCAUCUGUAAU